AGGAACCUGCCCUGUAAUUGACAGUCCACGAUUUAAAGCACUUAUUUUAUUAGUUUACAUAUCGCCGUAGAUUGAAUAUUUUUAAAGAAAAAUAAUGUUCAAGAUUUAUUUUAUAAAAAAAUUCAGGUCAAGAUGUAGUUUAUAAGUAAGAAGAGGUGGGUUACAAUAAAUUUAUUUAAAUGGAUUAAUAGAUGAUAAUUUAUUAUUAAAGUGGAUUUGAGGGUAAUCUUAUUUAAAUUAACAAGGUGAUUUUAGCUCUAAAAUAUGUACAUAUCGCCCGUCGCUUUCGCUAUAAAGUGAAAUAAGUCGUAACAAAGUAGACGUACUGGAAAGUGUGUCUAGAAAAAUCAAAUUAGAGCUUGGUUAAAGCAUUUUAGUUACAUUAAAAAGUCUAUUGUAGAUUCAGUAUAAUUUGAGUAUAAAUAUUUAUUAAUAUUUUUAAUUUUUUAUUAUUUAAAAUAAGAAUAUUUUUUUUUAUUAAUAAUUGUGAAUAAAUAUUUUUAAUUAUAGAUUAUUGGUAUUGUGAAAGAAUAUGAAUUUUACUUAAAGAAGAAAAAUUUAAUUUUUGUACCUUGUGUAUCAGGGUUUGUUAAAUAAAAAUUAAAAAUUUAAUUUUCUCGAAUUAAUAAGGGUUAUUUUUAUAUAUUUAUUUUUGUAGAAUAAAAAUUAUUAAUAUAGAAAUAGUAAUGAAACAUUAUUCGGUUAUUAAUAUAUCUAGUUUUUUAAGAAAAAAAUUUAAUUUUAUUUUUAUAUAGUAUAUAUUUAAUUUAUUAAUUAUAUAUUAGUAAAAUUUUAUAUUUUAAGGGAUGAGCUUUAAAAUAAAUUUUUUUAAAUUAUAUUUAGUGUUUGGUUUAAUUAAGUAGGAUUGAAAGUUUUCAUCUUUAAAAUUGUGUUGUAACUAUUUUGAUUUAAAAUAUUAUUUAUAUUGAUUUAAAAUAUUUUAUUAAAAUUUAAAUUUUAAUUUAAAAAGUUUAGUAAUAAUGAUAAAAUUAGUAUAAAAUAUUGUAGGGUUAGAUUUAUUUAUAAGGUUAAAUAAAGGAAUUCGGCAAAUAUUUUUUUCACCUGUUUAUUAAAAACAUGGCCUUUUGAGGAUAAUUUAAGGUCUGGCCUGCCCAAUGAAUGUAAGGUUUGAAUGGCCGCGGUAUUUUGACCGUGCAAAGGUAGCAUAAUCAUUAGUUUUUUAAUUGAAAGCUGGAAUGAAAGGUUGAAUGAAAAAAUAGCUGUCUCUAUUUAAAUUUUUUUAGAAAUUUAUUUUUAAGUAAAAAAGCUUAAAUUUUUUUAGAAGACGAGAAGACCCUAUAGAGUUUUAUUUAUUUUUAUUAUAAAGUUUUUGGUAUUAAU
rnacentral:rRNA from 1 species